rnacentral:rRNA from 1 species
AUGUUCAAGGCAAACGAGGAGGGGGCCAUAAUUAUCAGAAAUGUUGUCCGCACUUAUUGUGGUGCUUCUGGUCAGAGGGUUAACCUUGCAAAAUCAAGUAUCUUUUUUGGGAAGGGUUGCCCUAAUAGUAUGAGAACUGUGAUAAAAAAUCUUCUGGAUGUCACAAAUGAAUCGCUGGCUGAACGGUACCUAGGGUUGCCGUCUGAUGUUGGGAAGUCAAAAAAAGGUGUUUUAAAUAUUUAA